rnacentral:rRNA from 1 species
UACGUAGGGGGCUAGCGUUGUCCGGAAUCAUUGGGCGUAAAGCGCGUGUAGGCGGUCCGGUAAGUCCGCUGUGAAAGUCGGGGGCUCAACCCUCGGAUGCCGGUGGAUACUGUCGGGCUUGAGUACGGAAGAGGCGAGUGGAAUUCCUGGUGUAGCGGUGAAAUGCGCAGAUAUCAGGAGGAACACCGGUGGCGAAGGCGGCCUGCUGGGCUAUGGCUGACACUGAGGCGCGACAGCGUGGGGAGCAAACAGG